rnacentral:rRNA from 1 species
GCAGCCGCGGUAAUACGGAGGAUUCAAGCGUUAUCCGGAUUUAUUGGGUUUAAAGGGUGCGUAGGCGGAAGUGUAAGUUAGAGGUGAAAUCCCGUCGCUCAACGACGUAAGUGCCUCUGAUACUGCUCUUCUAGCGAGAGAGUGCUGUGGGCGGAAUGUGUAGUGUAGCGGUGAAAUGCUUAGAGAUUACACAGAACACCGAUUGCGAAGGCAGCUCACAAACUCUUUUCGGACGCUGAGGCACGAAAGCGUGGGGAGCAAACAGGAUUAGAUACCCC